rnacentral:piRNA from 1 species
UGGGAUUAAAGGCAUGUGCUCCCAUGCCCAG